rnacentral:lncRNA from 1 species
AUGAGGCCCACCGACCAUAGUGAGAGAACCUGCUUUACUCUGCCUACUGAUUCAAAUGGGCAUCUCAUCUGGAAACAUCCUCUCAGACAUAACCAGAGAACUGCUUGGCCAAACAUCUGGGCACCCGGUUGCCCGGUUACAUUGACACAUCAAAUUACCCAUCACUCUUCUUUUCCACUGAGCAUUAAUCACACCGGGAUUUCAGGAGGUACCAGGCCUGCUUCCUGAGGCAUCACAGAGAAGAAGGUAAAGCUGCACAGUCGUCCUGAGACUCAAUGCCAUGUGCUGCCUGCAGUUGGAAAGCAAACCAUCUACACAGUGGAAUCCACGAGGAUUCAGUGGUGAUGUAUCUAAAAUUCAGGAAUCGUUACUUUGCUCUCCUUCACGAACCAGGAGCCUUUUCUCCCUCGAUGGCAGAAGGUCUUGGCUUGCACAGUGAGGGCUGCAGGUACAGUGGUUAAGAGGAACCAUGGCCACUGCUCCGAUUGCAUAGCAUCCAGUGCAAGACCAAAUGCGGGGAACCUGAUAGCAUCAAAUUCUAAAAUAAAAGUAUAAUAAUGGUGGAAGAAGGAUCUUUGUGCUUGUCUUAAUAGUGUUCAUAACACUUAUACUUACCGUGCUAGAAGGGAAGUACAC